AACGCUGGCGGCGCGCCUAACACAUGCAAGUCGAACGAGAAAGUGGAGCAAUCCAUUAGUAAAGUGGCGUACGGGUGAGUAACACGUGGAUCAUCUACCUUCUAGUGGGGAAUACCGUUGGGAAACCGACGACAAUACCGCAUAAGCUCGGGAGAGGAAAGCAGCAAUGCGCUGGAAGAGGAGUCCGCGGUCGAUUAGUUAGUUGGCGGGGUAAUGGCCCACCAAGACUGUGAUCGAUAGCCGGCCUGAGAGGGCACACGGCCACACUGGCACUGAAACACGGGCCAGACUCCUACGGGAGGCAGCAGUGGGGAAUCUUGCACAAUGGAGGAAACUCUGAUGCAGCGACGCCGCGUGAGCAAUGAAGCCCUUCGGGGUGUAAAGCUCUUUCGUCAGGGACGAUUAUGACGGUACCUGGAGAAGCAGCUGCGGCUAACUACGUGCCAGCAGCCGCGGUAAUACGUAGGCUGCAAGCGUUGUUCGGAGUUACUGCUUAUAUUUUUUUUAACACAGGGGCGGUUUUUUUAAGUUUGUGUGUAAAUAUCUCCCGGCUCAACUUGGGAGGGUGCGCCGAAUAUCUGAGAGGCUAGAGUGUGGGAGAGGAAAGUGGAAUUCCUGGUGUAGCGGUGAAAUGCGUAGAUAUCAGGAGGAACACCGGUGGUGUAAACGGCUUUCUGGACCAUAACUGACGCUGAGGCACGAAAGCGUGGGUAGCAAACAGGAUUAGAUACCCUGGUAGUCCACGCCCUAAACGAUGCAUAUUUGGUGUGGGCCAUUCAUUUGGUCUGUGCCGGAGCUAACGCGUUAAAUAUGCCGCCUGGGGAGUACAGUCGCAAGGCUGAAACUCAAAGGAAUUGACGGGGGCCCGCACAAGCGGUGGAGCAUGUGGUUUAAUUCGACGCAACGCGAAGAACCUUACCUGGGCUCGAAAUGCUGUGGACCAGCUUAUGAAAGUAGGCCUUCCCGCAAGGGACCGCAGUAUAGGUGCUGCAUGGCUGUCGUCAGCUCGUGUCGUGAGAUGUUGGGUUAAGUCCCGCAACGAGCGCAACCCUUGUCCUGUGUUGCCAUACCGAAAGGUGGAACUCGCAGGAGACCGCCAGGGAUAACCUGGAGGAAGGUGGGGAUGACGUCAAGUCCUCAUGGCCUUUAUGUCCAGGGCUACACACGUGCUACAAUGGACGGUACAAAGGGCUGCCAACCCGCGAGGGGGAGCCAAUCCCAAAAAACCGUUCUCAGUUCGGAUUGCAGGCUGCAACUCGCCUGCAUGAAGCUGGAAUCGCUAGUAAUGGUGGAUCAGAACGCCACCGUGAAUACGUUCCCGGGCCUUGUACACACCGCCCGUCACAUCACGAAAGCCGGCUGUACUAGAAGUCGCUGCGCUAACCCGCAAGGGGGGCAAGCGCCUAAGGUAUGGUCGGUGAUUGGGGUG
rnacentral:rRNA from 1 species